rnacentral:rRNA from 1 species
CGCCUACGGUCGGCGCGUUCUCCCUAGAUCGCGAGUUCCCUCGGUUGCUCUGCGCACGCUCCGUUGGCCGCCAGGUCCCCUAGGUCGGUUCCGCUCCGCAUACUCCCCUAGGCUGCGAGCUCGCCGACGGACCAGUCAAACGAGUAGAAGGGAGGGGAAGAGAGAGUCCAGGACUUCCGCCGUCGCCGUUGCUCGGCCGUUGCGGAGGCGACUCCAACGCCGCUACCUUGGGCGCACCCCACCACGACCCGCCCCGCUCCCACGCCGUACCCGGCGACCGGAAACCUUGUGUAUAGAUGUAGGUAUCGAGACCGCCGUUGCCACCGCCAUCUCGCCUACUGCAGAGUAGGACGAGGAUCGGCCGCUGCCACCUAGUUGCGGAUAAGAUUAAAUUAGGAGGAGAGAAGAAGAACAUGUCCCAUGAGAACAUCCCGUUGGACAAGAAGAGCUACCACGAGGUCGUUGACGUAUUAAGUCCGACCUCCACUACCUCCCGUGACAUGUUCUCCUGUAAACAUACCCUUGUUGUUAUGUGGUCCAUUACAACAACCGCUACCAGUUAACUAAACUCGUAUAAACCUCUGACCAUCCGCGCGCCGGUAUGACGGGCUCAGUGGUGGACUCUCUCCUAGUCUCCUCUACCCGUCUACGAGAUCUCCUAAAACAUGUAUCUCGUUGGAGGAGAAGUAGAUCGACUAGAAAAGAGUUUUUGAACUCGCUAACCUGAAUACGUGAACAGGGAAUCUCAGUUACCGGUGUCGGAGAACGUAUAAGUCACGGUGAGAAGAAAGUGGUUAUACAGAUAAAGGUUUAUAAGUGCAGGAACCAGGAACCAUGGGCUGUUAACGAGUAAUAUUAACAGGUCGAUUAUUCGAAUGCUGUCUUCUAAUGGCCCUAUUGUUAAGAACUACAAAUGUUGUUAAUCAUAAUGACUAUUUAUCAUACCAACCGACGG